GGGAUGAAAGGAUGUGAGGAGAGGGUUAUUGCUGGUGAGUUAAGGCCAACAAUUGAUACUAAUGGAAGAGGAGGAGGAGGAGGAAUGCAGUUUGAUGAUGAAGAAGAAAUUGAAGUACUAGUAGAUAAAGGCUGAGAAGCAUCAGAAGAGAUCAAUCAAGUUAAUUAUUAUAAUAGUAUUAAUAGUUAUAAUAGUAGUGGCUGUUGUUACUUUUAUUAUUGUUAAAGUUGUUAGGAAAGGAAAAGGAAUUAUUUAAUGAUA